rnacentral:misc_RNA from 1 species
GCAUUCACCACCAGAAAAUCUCAAAAUUGAAAAGGAAGUGAUAUUUGCACUACCCAACAGAAGUCUCAGCUUCAACUCUCUACUAGCAAAGUAGCAAACUAGCAAGCAAUAAUGGCAAGGAAAAAUUGUGAUGUUGGUCACAGAGCAUGGAAUAUCCUGCGUCUAGCAUUGUUAUGGGCAAGAAAAGGUGGCGUUUUCAAGAGACGUUUGAUGGUGGAACUACGUGUUCUACCUAAGUUUCUUAAAAGCCUCGGCCACAGUACUACAACUCCUCGCACCCAAAUCCAUUACGGAGAACGCCAGCUUUCCUUUGACAAGACCCCUAUUUUUCACGUCAAGAUGCACCGCCCGGCCUCCAUGCGAUUCAACAUUCCUUGCAUUACCCCGCAAGUCGACUUCGAUUAUGAUUUCGAUGAAGAUCAAGAAGGAGGGUAUGAGUAUGACUAUGAAGGGAGGAAGAGUUUCUUGAAAGGUGGAGAGGAGGAGGAAUACGAAGAGGAAAGCAUUCCCGAGGAGGAGAAAGAGAUUGAUUUGAGAGCUGAGGAGUUCAUAGCUAAGUUCUAUGAGCAAAUGAAGCUUCAAAGACAAAUCUCUUAUCUUCAGUACAGUUAGAUGGUAAAUAGUUUAUCAUUUCAUGCGUCCUGAGAAUUUUU